AUUGAACGCUGGCGGCAGGCCUAACACAUGCAAGUCGAGCGGAGCGGCGGACGGGCGAGUAAUGCCUAGGAAUCUGCCCGGUAGUGGGGGAUAACGUCCGGUAACGGGCGCUAAUACCGCAUAAUACUAGAUGAGCCUAGGUCGGAUUAGCUAGUUGGUGGGGUAAAGGCCUACCAAGGCGACGAUCCGUAACUGGUCUGAGAGGAUGACCAGUCACACUGGAACUGAGACACGGUCCAGACUCCUACGGGAGGCAGCAGUAGGGAAUAUUUGGCAAUGGGCGAAAGCCUGAUCCAGCCAUGCCGCGUGUGUGAAGAAGGUCUUCGGAUUGUAAAGCACUUUAAGUUGGGAGGCGUUACCAAAUCAGUAAGCACCGGCUAACUUCGUGCCAGCAGCCGCGGUAAUAC
rnacentral:rRNA from 1 species